AUCGAACAAUUUCAUUGAGCAUUAUUGCUGAACGCACAUAACUUCCUUUGGAGGAUGAGGAACUUCUUCUCAUGAAGAGCGUAUCUGCGGCUGAUACUUCAAUACAGCUGUAUCUCAAUUUCAUCACUGAGUUCGAGACUGAGAUCAAUUUUCUUAAGCUUGCCCAUUUUGCUGUUAUAGUGUCUCGGUAGUAUGCAGAAAAAGAAGCUGAUAUUGGUUAUCUUGAGGGAAUUAUUCAGAAGCUGCGUGCAACCGGAGAAACACGUAUAGAGGAAUCCAUUCUCUAUAUAAAUAUGCGGAUUGCUGCCUACAGAUUCGAGACGGGAGAGCGAAAAGAGUGCCAGAAUCUUUUCGACGACAGGAAGACCAUACUUGACAGCAUGACAGAUAUAGAUCUCUCUCUUUAUGGAAGCAACUACUCAGUAUCAUAAGUCAAGUCAGUGGAUUAGCUACUCUUCAUCGUCCGACAUGUGAAAAAUUCAUCCAAAAGGAGAAACACGUAUAGAGGAACCCGUUGUCUGUAUAAAGAUGCAGAUUGCUGCCUUCAGACUUGAGAAAAGGAGAGCAAAAGGAGUGCAAGAAUCUUUUGGUUGAUGGGAGUACUACAUUCGAUAGCAUGGCUGUGUCUCGGCAGUAUGCAGAAAAAGAAGCUACCAUUUGUUAUCUUGAGGGAGUUAUUGAGAAGCUGCAUGCAACCAGAGAAACACGCAUAGAGGAAUCCAUUUUCUAUAUAAAUAUGCGGAUUGCUGCCUUCAGACUCGAGAUGGGAGAACAAAUAUAGUGGAAGGAACUACUGGCUUUCGUCUCAUUAUCAUAAGUCAGUCUUUUGAGGAGUAAGGUGGAACCGCUAUACUUUAUCCAUCAGGCCUUCAAUUCUGGUGAUUUAGUUUGAUAUCAAGAACUCGGUGUUGUUCACAAGGCUGCUUUGAACACUCAACCUGCUGCAUUAACGAGAAGAAGCUACUGGAAAAGAUUUACAUUCUCCGCUUGAUGGAAAUCAUAUUCGGCCCAACCGCGGAUGAUCAAACAAUUCCAUUGGGCGUAAUUGCACAACACACUGCUUCUUCUCAUGAAGAGCUUAUCUGAUCAAACAGAUGGUUCUUUUGUUGACCUCAGCUAGUUUAGGGAUUGUACAGUCUGUGGCUAUCUCUGUCACAUUAUUUUGGUUGAUGCAAUUUACAUUUUUAAACAAUUGGUUUGGACGAUACCCGUUACCGUCUUAGCUCAGUGGUAGAGCAUGUGGCGUAUCGCCUCAAGGUCGUGGGUUCAAUUCCUGCA